GGACUCCGAAGGACGUGAAAUGGCUUCCCCGGUCUCCCGGGCGACCGCGCUGCACGUUGGCCUGACGUCAGGGCGCGGUGACGUCACUGCCCACGCCGUCGCCGACGCGGAAGCAGAGCAUUGCAUCACUAGGCUUUUACUCUCUGAUGCAUUCACCACAACUCAACCUGAAGAUUAAAAGAAAUGGAUUCAAUGCUGCUUCUGCAACCAGCUAGUUAAAUCAAGAGAUAUCAACAUCCUGAGAACUCCAAACUUGACUCUACACACCACCUUAGGACAUCCAGCAAGCCUCUUACAUGGAAUGUGUUCAGAUAGACCUCAACCUGGUUUCUUCUUGAUCUUCUCUAUCUUAGUAAAUACACAACAACAGUCAAGCCAAAAUCUUGUUAUGCAUUUUUAUUCUUCCUUCUUCUGUAUC